rnacentral:ncRNA from 1 species
GCUUGCUGUUUUGUUUACCAGCCAACCAGCCCACUUGAAUACCCAAAGGUGCAAACCACUGCUGGAACGUCAGCGCAUGCUGCUCGGCCAGAAUUUCGGUCGGCGCCAUUAGUGCGACUUGGUAGCCCUGUCCAAUCGCCGUUAAGGCGGCAAGGGCAGCAACCAGUGUUUUGCCUGAGCCGACAUCACCUUGCACCAAACGCAUCAUCGGUACGGCUGCGGCCAGGUCUUGCUGGAUCUCGCCAACCACACGUU